CGAACUCCGCUCAGAAUCGUUUUUGUUAGCAAUGGUUAAUCGUUGGGUACAGUUAUACCUACAUUCAAUCUCUCAUCUACCUUCCCAACUUCUCACCUACAACAGUGUCCCACCAAUCGUGCGGAGCAUGUUAGUCUUUUUUUCUUACGGUGUUUCUUUUGUUGAUACCUAGCCCGGCGGUGUUCGAUUGUCUCCGGUAAA